GUAUACUGUGCUUGCUUUUAUAUACUAAAAACCUCUAACAAUACACAGAAGAUUAGCAUGGCCCCUGAACAAGGAUAACGUGCAAAUUCAUAUUUAAAAAAAUUCAUU
rfam:Canis lupus familiaris chromosome 2, whole genome shotgun sequence.